rnacentral:rRNA from 1 species
UCGCAAUCUUCUUUGUCGAUUUGAACUCUCAAAAAAAAUUACGCUGUUAUCCCUAAGGUAACUUAGUCUUUUAAUCUAAACCUUAGGAUCAAAAAAUCACCAAUCUAUGAUCUCUUCAAAAAAAGUUCAAUCAAUUUUUCUGUCACCCCAACCAAACAAACACUCAACAAUAAAAUUUAUAUACCAAUAAUUAAUUAUUAAUAAGUCUGUAAAGCUCUAUAGGGUCUUCUUGUCUUCUAUAAAUAUUUAAGCUUUCUCACUUAAAAAUAAAAUUCUAAAAAAUUUCUUCUGAGACAGUAGGUUUCUCAUCAAUCCCUUCAUUCCAGCUUCUAAUUAAGAAACUAAUUAUUAUGCUACCUUUGCACGGUCAAUAUACCGCGGCCAUUAAAACCCUUAAGUUCAUUGGGCAGGAACGACCUUAGAUUAAAAUCAAAAGGCC